rnacentral:rRNA from 1 species
UGCUGUCACUUAUAGAUGGAUCCGCGCUGCAUUAGCUAGUUGGUAAGGUAACGGCUUACCAAGGCAACGAUGCAUAGCCGACCUGAGAGGGUGAUCGGCCACACUGGAACUGAGACACGGUCCAGACUCCUACGGGAGGCAGCAGUAGGGAAUCUUCCGCAAUGGGCGAAAGCCUGACGGAGCAACGCCGCGUGAGUGAUGAAGGUCUUCGGAUCGUAAAACUCUGUUAUUAGGGAAGAACAUAUGUGUAAGUAACUGUGCACAUCUUGACGGUACCUAAUCAGAAAGCCACGGCUAACUACGUGCCAGCAGCCGCGGUAAUACGUAGGUGGCAAGCGUUAUCCGGAAUUAUUGGGCGUAAAGCGCGCGUAGGCGGUUUUUUAAGUCUGAUGUGAAAGCCCACGGCUCAACCGUGGAGGGUCAUUGGAAACUGGAAAACUUGAGUGCAGAAGAGGAAAGUGGAAUUCCAUGUGUAGCGGUGAAAUGCGCAGAGAUAUGGAGGAACACCAGUGGCGAAGGCGACUUUCUGGUCUGUAACUGACGCUGAUGUGCGAAAGCGUGGGGAUCAAACAGGAUUAGAUACCCUGGUAGUCCACGCCGUAAACGAUGAGU